CUACCCCUGUGCCUUAGAGGCUGCGUCGGCUCCAAACUUUCUUUUCCGCUUUGCGGUGGACGAAGUCGAGUCGUUUAUGGGGUCCUCGUGGGGUCGGCGGCAGCGCCCGCGUACCCGUCGCCUCACUUUUCCAGGUGCAACAGAGCCUAUGGGCUGAAGAUGAGUGGCGGUUGUCAUAAUGAAUGUUUUCCAAAAACUUAACUGCAGAGGAUGACUAAGCCCCUAGGAUAUACAGCUGCAUGUAACAAGCAUAUAGGUAGCCGCAGAUGAAUGAAUGUUCAAGUUCUUAGCUGUGGUAUAUAAGAAUUCUUCAUUGCCUCAGGUAUAGCAUGCAACAUUUUGGAGAGAAAAACAAAGCAUUGGUCAAGAAGACAUGAAUUGAAGCAAAUGGUGAAAAUAUUUUAUUUCACAUUGGUCACCUUAUAAUAAAUUAUAUAGAAAAUA